UUUCCGUAGGUGAACCUGCGGAAGGAUCAUUAGUGAGUUGUCAUGGGGUUCGAUGCUGGCAGCCAAUUUUUGGAUGCAUGUGCUUGCCCUAACAAUCAUCUUCCAAACACCUGUGCACAUUUUUGAGGGAGUCUUGAGUUGGUUGCCGCUCUUGGGUGAUUUUCUCACAUUCCCUUAAAUCAUUAUACGCUAUUAACAAUGUUGAACGUGCUCUGUGCCGCAAGGCUAUUAAUAUAAUACAACUUUUAACAACGGAUCUCUUGGCUCUC
rnacentral:misc_RNA from 1 species